AACGUAGGUGGCAAGCGUUAUCCGGAUUUACUGGGCGUAAAGGGUGUGCAGGCGGGUGGACAAGUGGGGGGUGAAAGACCCUGGCUUGACUGGGGGAACGUAAACCAGACUGUUCAUCUAGAACACGAGAGAGGGAUGUGGAAUUCCGGGUGUAGUGGUGAAAUGCGUAGAGAUCCGGAGGAACACCAGAGGCGAAAGCGGCAUCCUGGCUCGUUGUUGACGCUCAGACACGAAAGCAUGGGGAGCGAACGGG
rnacentral:rRNA from 1 species